UUAUCACCGUGCUCCAGGAGGGGCUUUGGAGUUACGGACGAGAACCGUGGGGCCCAAGAAAAGUGGGGCCGAUGGCACAUGGCUCACCCCAUCCUUUCCGCUGGGACCACACCCAAACCCUCGGGGAGGAGGAGCCUCCGGACCUGCACAGCUCAGACCCACCCAACCUGGCCUGACAGCUGCAGGGGCACACGCACCUUGAAGGAGUGGAGUCAGGCAGAGUUCACCUGUGUAUCCUGAUUGCACCAGCUGGGGCUCCCAGCCAACCAAAGCUGCGGCACCUGUUGAUUGAGGCUCCAUGCCUACUUAUGGAGCAUGGAGCCCAACAUGGGGC